rnacentral:rRNA from 1 species
AUGUCUGGAAAGCAUCCACAUACAAUUUUGACUGACGAAGAUGCAGCAAUGGCUAAGGCGAUCUGCUCAGUCCUGCCUCACUCUCAUCAUAGACUUUGCGUGUGGCAUAUGAAUCAAAAUGUUGUCAAACAUCUUAGUGGAGUUGUUACAGAUUACAAGAAGUUCAAUGCUGAUUUUCAGCAUUGUAUCUAUGAUAUUGGGGAAGAAGAUGAAUUUAUAAGUGCAUGGAAUGAAAUGCUUGACAAUACCCAAAGGAGUGAAAGCAUGAACAACGAACUAAAACGUUACAUUAGUUCUAAGUAUGACAUGCUUACUUUUUUUGAGCAUUUCGAACGUCUAGUUGCAGAUAAAAGAUUUGAAGAGGUGAGAUGUGACUUCAAAGCAACACAAAGUACUCCUAAGCUGAAGGCAGAAAGCUAUAUGUUAAGGCAAGCAUCAACUACAUAUACUCCACCAAUAUUCAAGAUGUUUCAGGAACAAGUGCUUCGGACCUUAAACUAUGAUACAUUCCUUUGUGACGACAGUGACACCGAGGAGAAGGUUUACAAAGUAAAAUUUCAUGAGUCUGAAGAGUCAUACUUGAUGCUGCUAAUUAUGCAGAGAAAUUAG